AUGAAUAUAUCGGUUCUCGUUCGAUUACCGAAGUCAAGCAUCAUCAGGGACUGUCAGUACUUGGGAGGGUGACCACCUGGGAACACCAUGUA